GUCUUUUUGUAUUUUAUUUAAAGUCUAACCUGCCCACUGAUUUUUAAAGGGCCGCGGUAUUUUGACCGUGCGAAGGUAGCAUAAUCAAUAGUCUUUUAAUUGAAGGCUGGUAUGAAUGGUUGAAUGAGAUAUAUACUGUUUUUUUAAAAUUUAAAUAGAAUUUUAUUUUUUAGUUAAAAAGCUAAAAUUGAAUUAAAGGACGAGAAGACCCUAUAGAUCUUUAUUUUUAUAAAUUAUAAAUUAUAAAGAAUUUUAAAAUUUAUAUUUUAGAUAAAAUUUUACUGGGGUGGUAUUAAAAUUUAAUUAACUUUUAUUUAUUUUUAACAUUGAUUUAUGAAUUUAAGAUCCUGUAUUAUGGAUUAAAAAAUUAAGUUACCUUAGGGAUAACAGCGUAAUUUUUUUAGAGAGUUCAUAUCGAUAAAAAAGAUUGCGACCUCGAUGUUGGAUUAAGAGUUAUUUUUAGGUGUAGAAGUUUAAAGUUUAGGUCUGUUCGACCUUUAGAUU
rnacentral:rRNA from 1 species